rnacentral:rRNA from 1 species
UACGAAGGGGGCUAGCGUUGCUCGGAAUUACUGGGCGUAAAGCGCACGUAGGCGGCUUUCUAAGUCGGGGGUGAAAUCCUGGAGCUCAACUCCAGAACUGCCUUCGAUACUGGAGAGCUCGAGUCCGGGAGAGGUGAGUGGAACUGCGAGUGUAGAGGUGAAAUUCGUAGAUAUUCGCAAGAACACCAGUGGCGAAAGGCGGCUCACUGGCCCGGCACUGACGCUGAGGUGCGAAAGCGUGGGGAGCAAACAGG